GAUGAACGCUGGCGGCGUGCCUAAUACAUGCAAGUCGAGCGAACAGACGAGGAGCUUGCUCCUCUGACGUUAGCGGCGGACGGGUGAGUAACACGUGGAUAACCUACCUAUAAGACUGGGAUAACUUCGGGUAACCGGAGCUAAUACCGGAUAAUAUUUUGAACCGCAUGGUUCAAAAGUGAAAGACGGUUUUGCUGUCACUUAUAGAUGGAUCCGCGCUGCAUUAGCUAGUUGGUAAGGUAACGGCUUACCAAGGCAACGAUGCGUAGCCGACCUGAGAGGGUGAUCGGCCACACUGGAACUGAGACACGGUCCAGACUCCUACGGGAGGCAGCAGUAGGGAAUCUUCCGCAAUGGGCGAAAGCUUGACGGAGCAACGCCGCGUGAGUGAUGAAGGUCUUCGGAUCGUAAAACUCUGUUAUUAGGGAAGAACAAAUGUGUAAGUAACUAUGCACGUCUUGACGGUACCUAAUCAGAAAGCCACGGCUAACUACGUG
rnacentral:rRNA from 1 species